UAAAAUAGGCCUCAUCGUCGUA
rnacentral:rRNA from 1 species